rnacentral:rRNA from 1 species
GCCUAAUAUUCGGGCCUUUAUAUAUAUGGUUUUUUUUUCGUCAGGAUGAACGCUGGCGGCGUGCCUAAUACAUGCAAGUCGAGCGAACGGACGAGAAGCUUGCUUCUCUGAUGUUAGCGGCGGACGGGUGAGUAACACGUGGAUAACCUACCUAUAAGACUGGGAUAACUUCGGGAAACCGGAGCUAAUACCGGAUAAUAUUUUGAACCGCAUGGUUCAAAAGUGAAAGACGGUCUUGCUGUCACUUAUAGAUGGAUCCGCGCUGCAUUAGCUAGUUGGUAAGGUAACGGCUUACCAAGGCAACGAUGCAUAGCCGACCUGAGAGGGUGAUCGGCCACACUGGAACUGAGACACGGUCCAGACUCCUACGGGAGGCAGCAGUAGGGAAUCUUCCGCAAUGGGCGAAAGCCUGACGGAGCAACGCCGCGUGAGUGAUGAAGGUCUUCGGAUCGUAAAACUCUGUUAUUAGGGAAGAACAUAUGUGUAAGUAACUGUGCACAUCUUGACGGUACCUAAUCAGAAAGCCACGGCUAACUACGUGCCAGCAGCCGCGGUAAUACGUAGGUGGCAAGCGUUAUCCGGAAUUAUUGGGCGUAAAGCGCGCGUAGGCGGUUUUUUAAGUCUGAUGUGAAAGCCCACGGCUCAACCGUGGAGGGUCAUUGGAAACUGGAAAACUUGAGUGCAGAAGAGGAAAGUGGAAUUCCAUGUGUAGCGGUGAAAUGCGCAGAGAUAUGGAGGAACACCAGUGGCGAAGGCGACUUUCUGGUCUGUAAACUGACGCUGAUGUGAAAGACGCC